rnacentral:rRNA from 1 species
GCCCCCCGAUUUUGGGGGGUGGCUAGUGCCCGCCAGAGGACUAUCAAACUCCAGUCAGUAAACGUUGCAGUCUGAAAAAAAUAUUAAAUAAACUAAAACUUUCAACAACGGAUCUCUUGGUUCUGGCAUCGAUGAAGAACGCAGCGAAAUGCGAUAAGUAAUGUGAAUUGCAGAAUUCAGUGAAUCAUCGAAUCUUUGAACGCACAUUGCGCCCCUUGGUAUUCCGGGGGGCAUGCCUGUUCGAGCGUCAUUUCAACCCUCAAGCUCUGCUUGGUAUUGGGCACCGUCCUUUGCGGGCGCGCCUCAAAGACCUCGGCGGUGGCGUCUUGCCUCAAGCGUAGUAGAAUACACCUCGCUUCGGAGCGUAAGGCGUCGCCCGCCGGACGAACCUUCUGAACUUUUCUCAAGGUGACCUCGGAUCAAGGUAGGGAUA